GGCACGUAAACAGGAUCUCGGAAGCAGGUGAGGCAUAUUAUGUUUUAUGAAGGACCAUAAAAAGAGACUUGCUCAUACCAAACACUAUUUCUGUUUCAGUUCAUUAGCACUGAAUAAGGACCAACACUGAUGGGUGUAAAGUACACUAAAGAGCCUUGUUAGCUGAUAAAGGGAGAGAUUUGGAUUUGAACGCAGCUCUAUUCAGUUCCUGCGUCUCACGUGAGGUUAGAACGAGUGUGUGUUUGCAGAAGAACAAAGGGGGCUUUUGUGCAGACAAACAUUCACUGCAGACUGAAGCCAUAUCUCAGUGGGUGGUGCUGUAUCAGUUGUUCCCAUAGGCCGCUCAGUGACACCAGUGGUCGUAUCAGGUUAUUGCUUACUGAUGACAGCGUGGCAUAAGCUGCAGGCCGUGAAGUCUUUGUGUUUCUGCUUGUGUCAUCC